GACGAACGCUGGCGGCGUGCUUAACACAUGCAAGUCGAACGGAAAGGCCCUGCUUUUGUGUGGUGCUCGCGUGGCGAACGGGUGAGUAACACGUGAGUCACCUGCCCUUGACUUUGGGAUAACUUCAGGAAACUGGGGCUAAUACAGGCUAGGAGCUCCUGCUGCAUGGUGGGGGUUGGAAAGUUUCGGCGGUUGGGGAUGGACUCGCGGCUUAUCAGCUUGUUGGUGGGGUAGUGGCUUACCAAGGCUUUAACGGGUAGCCGGCCUGAGAGGGUGACCGGCCACAUGGGGACUGAGAUACGGCCCAGACUGCUACGGGGGGGAGCAGUGGGGAAUAUUGCACAAUGGGCGGAAGCCUGAUGCAGCAACGCCGCGUGCGGGAUGACGGCCUUCGGGUUGUAAACCGCUUUCACCUGUGACGAAGCGUGAGUGACGGUAAUGGGUAAAGAAGCACCGGCUAACUACGUG
rnacentral:rRNA from 1 species